UACAGAGGUGCCAAGCGUUAGGCGGAAUCACUGGGCUUAAAGCGCGCGUAGGCGGAUGUUUAAGUGUCUUGUGAAAUCCCACGGCUCAACCGUGGAACUGCUGGGCAUACUGGACAUCUCGAGGCACUCAGGGGCGAGCGGAACAAGUGGUGGAGCGGUGAAAUGCGUAGAUAUCAGGAAGAACACCCGUGGCUAAGGCGGCUCUCUAGUACGGUACUGACGCUGAGACGCGAAAGCGUGGGGAGCGAACAGG
rnacentral:rRNA from 1 species